CCUGGCGGCGAUAGCGCGGUGGUCCCACCUGACCCCAUGCCGAACUCAGAAGUGAAACGCCGUAGCGCCGAUGGUAGUGUGGGGCUUCCCCAUGCGAGAGUAGGGAACUGCCAGGU
rnacentral:rRNA from 1 species